rnacentral:rRNA from 1 species
UAGGGAAUAUUAGAAAUGGACGAAAGUCUGAUCUAGCAACACCGCGUGUGCGAAGAAGGCCUUCGGGUUGUAAAGCACUUUUUGGAAGGAUUAGGAAGGAAUGUACUUCCAGAAUAAGCCUCGGCUAACUACGUGCCAGCAGCCGCGGUAAAACGUAGGAGGCGAGCGUUAUCCGGAUUUACUGGGCGUAAAGCGUGUGUAGGCGGUUUGAUAAGUUGGAUGUGAAAGCUCCUGGCUCAACUGGGAGAGGCCGUUCUAAACUGCAGAGCUAGAGGAUGGUAGAGGGAGGUGGAAUUCCGGGUGUAGCGGUGGAAUGCGCAGAUAUCCGGAGGAACACCAGUGGCGAAAGCGGCCUCCUGGACCAUUCCUGACACUCAGACGCGAAAGCUAGGGUAGCAAACAGGAUUAGAUCGCCCCGUAGUA